GGGGGCGAUUUGGUUUCGACGAGAAUACUGCAUUUAGAAGUUGCAUGUCGAGAGCUAACUCGUUAAACUGGCUAAAGCACGAUAAGUGCCGAACCAAUCAAUCAACUUGCUGCCUAAAAUAGUGUAGCAACAUUGAAUUCAGCUUUGCUCAUAGAGCUUUUUUCAAUGUCAUUUAUAUGAGCCUGAAAAAAAUAUUUUCCCUAUAUUUUUUUCGGUGACUAAGGGAAUCGAAGUAUUUUUUGUUGUUUAGCUCAGAAAAUACUUUUAAAGACAAUGCUAAAA
rnacentral:tmRNA from 1 species